GUGAAAUACAGUAUAUGCUGCAUGUGGCCAUGUAAAUGAAUGUAUCAACUACUGCAACAUCCUGUUGGUGCUCCAGCCUUCCCACCUGAGCCAAGGAACUCGCAAUACACCGCUAUGGUGAUUUUGUCCCUGUUGCUCAAAGCACAGCCAUAAGAUGCCCAGGGAAAGGCAAGUUGCUUGAACCAUGGGGUGGAAGUGUUUUGUGGAAACAGCACCCAGCAGGAGGGCUGGGGCAGCUGCCAGCAGCCCUGAGAGGGGUUCACUCAGCUGUGUGGCCUGACCCAGGUGGGUGUGCAGGAUGGGAUCUCUUGCUUAAACGUCCCAAGGUAUCUUGGGGAGGGGGUGAUGUGAUGGGUCGGGAUGACCCAGCCCAUCUGAGGCUGUCACACUGCUGUGCUACCAGGGAUUAAGAAGGCUCUCUGUUAAUUAACAGGUAAUGAAGCACUUUGGAGACGAGGAGUAUGCGCUCUGCAAGACAAGAGAAAGAGCUGUGUUCCAGUGGCCUGCCACGCCAGGAGUUGCACAGCUUUUGGACACAUGCUGGCUUAGUGAAGCCUGCCAGGGAGAUGGGCUGUGCAAAGCCUUCUGAUGGCCUGGUGGAGGAUAACAGCUACAGGAGAGGAGCAGUGCCUGGACAGAAAGCUGAGUUGCUGCAUCUGGCCUCAGCCAGGCCCAGAGCCCCCGGAGCCCACAGGGGCCUUCGUUGCUCAAAUGGGAUUGUGAACAAGGCCUGGAGUGCCAGAGGAGUGACUGCACUGAGGAGGCUGACAGGUUUUCAGGUUUCCUUCUCUGACCUGCUGCUGUGUCCUGUGACUGUAACAACAGAUAGAAAGGUCUCAAACCAUUUCAUGGGGCUGGAGGGGGCAGUCUGGCCAAGAAAAACAUACAUUUCUUCCCACAGCAGAAACCGCCAGCCUCUGAGAUGGGCUCUUCUGGCUCACUCUGGUGCUGUUCUUCAAGGCAAGUGUUACAUCUGCUCUGUGCCACCAGCAUGUUUGCAGGGAGCUGGGGCAGCUGUGGCCUCUGGGAAGAGAGGGCACCCAUCCUCAGCGUGCAGCAGAGAGCAGUACAACAGUAUGUGAGUCAGAACCUACAAGUCCAUCAUACCAGGCACACUGCAAACUGCCCUAAGUGUCUCAUAGUAGAUUUUGUUCAGAUCAAGCUCAGAUAAUUCAGUCAUAAGGAGUCUUCCAUGCCCACCGUUCUAGGAUUUUCUGGCAUUUGACCCUCUUUAGUUAGUUUAUUUGAAAGGAAAAUACUGCUUAAAAACUAAAAACUGGAAACUUUUGACAAUCCCAGCAAUUUUCUCACUUUUUGACAAACUGCUCAAAUUGACUAAAUUCUCAAAUAUUUCUGUUGUCCUAAACAAUAUAUAUAUACACAUAUUUAUAUAUAUUUUUUCUGGAAGAUGAGCUAUAAAAAUCAUUUGCUAUUCUACUUUUCAAAAUAUUUCGCAUUUGUAUAAAUUCAGUUAAUAACUACACAGCAUUAAGGGAUAUGAUGUACUGCUCCCCAUUGAAAAUGGACACAGGUUAUCAUGUAACCCAGUUCAGAUCUUGUGCAUAUUGUAUGGCUGAGCACAGUGCUAUAGCAAGGAAAAUGAGUUUCUAUCCUGUUUACUGUUUGUGGCAUGGGACCAAGUUGUUUCUCUGAACUGAAGAACACUCCAGCAAACACUGUUUCUCAGUUUCAGAAUUUGACUAAACCCUAAUUCUGUUGCCAUCAAGAUUUAAACAAAUGGUGUAGAGAUACCUAAGGGAGCAAGUGAUUUUAUGUCUGCUAUAAGACAGUAUUAAAGAGUCAAAAUAGUCCAUUAGAAGCAGAUGUACCUGUACCUCCUUCUGGCCAGCUAUGAGUUCCACCUUUGAAGAACUAUUUCUGUUGUUUUUGAACCAAAGAAAGGAAUAAAACUAUUUCAAAAGGCCAUAAAGCCUGCUAAGAUGAAUGUGAGGGGCCCAGUAGAAUCAUUUUCCAGUUCAAUGUAGGUUUAUUAAAACUAUUUGGAGCAAGUAAAGCAGUUCAAGAGAGAGUGAUCCAGCAAAGUGUGGUGGGGCCUGAGAGUGGAAGCGUUUUUGUCUCAUCACUGAUCUCUAGCACCUUUCUUUUCUGGUCUCAUAUCUUGAUUUGUCUAAUUUGUAUAUUUAGACUGGGAACUCCAUAGCUGAAACUAUUCUGUCCUACAUAAGCAACAUGUGUAUUCAGUUUCGGGGGUAAUAAGAACAGGACUAUUUCUAUGGAAUACGUAUGUACAAGGGGAGACCUACUGAUUUUGAAAGCUUCUGGUGAAAAAUGCUUGUGUGAGCACAAAAGUUCAAAGCGAGGCUAUUAUUAUUCCAUUUCCAUAUGAAUGAUCUAAACAAUUUGUGUCUGGGUUUAAUAUGCAGCUACUAAAACCAGAGUUCGUAUUAUGGCCAGAUGGAAUAGGCAAAGGAUGUGAUAGCCACUGUGAAAUCUGGCUGCUUCUUGGUGAACCUCACUGGGUUAGGUCUCUCCUUCCACUUCUGAGCUACUUCUAUAGGAGGCUGAGGAAGAUGUGGUGGGGGCUUCCCCUGUGCCCAUCUGCAUAGUCAGUGCCAGUAACAAUGCUGUUACACAUUCUUGUCUCAGGUACCCAGAUACACUUGUAGCUUCAAUUUGAACUAAAAAGAGGUGAACGAUAAGCCAACAUUCCUCCUCACCUGUCCUGCAGAAAAGCCCUGGGAUACAGCUUAGCCUGAAGCUUUCACUAGCACAACCCAAAACCUCCUGAGUAGAGUUCGAAGAACAAAAGCCUCCUUGUGCACAGCUGAUACUCUUCCACCUGUCCUGCCCCAUGGAGCCAGAACAAGGCAAUAGAAGUCUCAAGAAAGACUUUCUUACCAUCAGCUGUUCAAAACAUCUGUAACCUAGCAGUGUACUUUCUUUAUUAUUGUUCUUUAUUUCAGAAAGUGCAUUUUUUUCACAUUUUUCAUACUGCUGUCCAUACAAUAAUUUGGAAACUAGAGCAGGUAGAACAGCUUUUUAAACAAAACCUCUCAUUUUGUCAAGAAUGCAGCUUUAUACAAAUAAAGUAGAUUAAGA
rnacentral:lncRNA from 1 species